GAUGAACGCUGGCGGCGUGCUUAACACAUGCAAGUCGAACGAAGCAUUUAGAACAGAUUACUUCGGUUUGAAGUUCUUUAUGACUGAGUGGCGGACGGGUGAGUAACGCGUGGGUAACCUGCCUUUUACUGGGGGAUAGCAGCUGGAAACGGCUGGUAAUACCGCAUAAGCGCACAAUGUUGCAUGACAUGGUGUGAAAAACUCCGGUGGUAUAAGAUGGACCCGCGUCUGAUUAGCUAGUUGGUGAGAUAACAGCCCACCAAGGCGACGAUCAGUAGCCGACCUGAGAGGGUGACCGGCCACAUUGGGACUGAGACACGGCCCAGACUCCUACGGGAGGCAGCAGUGGGGAAUAUUGCACAAUGGAGGAAACUCUGAUGCAGCGACGCCGCGUGAGUGAAGAAGUAAUUCGUUAUGUAAAGCUCUAUCAGCAGGGAAGAUAGUGACGGUACCUGACUAAGAAGCUCCGGCUAAAUACGUG
rnacentral:rRNA from 1 species